rnacentral:rRNA from 1 species
GACGAACGCUGGCGGCGUGCUUAACACAUGCAAGUCGAACGGAAAGGCCCUGCUUUUGUGGGUUGCUCGAUUGGCGAACGGGUGAGUAACACGUGAGUAACCUGCCCUUGUCUUUCGGAUAACUUCAGGAAACUGGGGCUAAUACCGGAUAGGAGCUCCUGCUGCAUGGUGGGGGUUGGAAAGUUUCGGCGUUUGGGGAUGGACUCGCGGCUUAUCAGCUUGUUGGUGGGGUAGUGGCUUACCAAGGCUUUGACGGGUAGCCGGCCUGAGAGGGUGACCGGCCACCUUGGGACUGAGAUACGGACCAGACUCCUACGGGAGGCAGCAGUGGGGAAUAUUGCACAAUGGGCGGAAGCCUGAUGCAGCAACGCCGCGUGCGGGAUGACGGCCUUCGGGUUGUAAACCGCUUUCGCCUGUGACGAAGCGUGAGUGACGGUAAUGGGUAAAGAAGCACCGGCUAACUACGUG